AUUUGGAAUACAGUGACUGUGGAGUUUGUGUUUGUGGGACAUCUUUCCUACUCUUCAUCCUGAAUGUUAGAAGACUGGGAUGUUUGUGCUCUUCUUACAUCAACAUUUACUUGGAAUAGUCUGCAGGAUUCCAAAGAAGCCCACCCAGGACCACCCUGCAGACCUGCACCUGAUGCUCAGUACCAGCACAAGCCCAUCUUGCCUUCUGGCUCCCCACUCUGCAUUGGAUGAACCUGGUGCUGGACUUAAAUGAAGGAACUUAUGAUCUGACAUUAUUGGAAGGAGACAUCCUACACUGUUGCCAAGGUUUGAUAGAGUCACCUCAAGAAAAUGCUAAGUUGGUAACUGCUUUCACAGUGAACUUCCAGGUGACAAAGACUUUAAAGAUCAUUGACUGCCACCUGGAGAUUUUGUUUAUUAAAAAGGACAUAAAAUAAAAGACACUCUCCAACCUCAUUGGAAGAGACCUACGAAUAGACACAUCUACCCUUAUCUACAUACAUCAAAGACUUCUCUAGGAUGAGAAGCUGCCGACACUGGAGUUAGACAGCCAUCCCAAGACAGCAACAAGGAUUGUAUAUCUAUGGAUUUAUAUAGAAUUCAGAAUUCAUUUUGCUUGAUUGAUUUUACCAAUUUGCUAAUGUUAUUAUUCAUAAUAAUAGUUAUACUUGUUCUUGAGUUUUUCUUGAAAAAUUAUCUGUGAAAUCUCUUCAUCUUUGUCUUAUAACCUUACUUAAUCUCAGUAGUGACACUUACAGUCACAAAUCUCACCCACACCCCAGGGGAGGGAAUUGUAUAGGGCAUGUACAUAAGGAGUCAGGAAUCUUGGAAGUCAUCUCAGAAUUCUGCAUACCACAUACCUUCUUUUCUAGGAGUGAAUGAACAGAGUAGAUUGCCUCAGACCUUAGGUGGAAAGAAACAGAAGUCACAAUAAUUUCAUAGAGAAGCGUUGAAAGUCAAUCACACUUAAAUACCUUAAAUACAGUAUUCUAGUUAAAAAUAUAAUUACUUAUGAUAACUUAACAAAUUGGUGAUUGCCUUUGCCUUCCUCACACUAAAGAAAGCAGCAGACCAGUCACAAUUUAGUUUUGUCCUUAGGAUAACUAGUAGAGAUUAUCCAGGACUAUUGUGUUAAGAGCAAGUCUAAGGCCACAUCUGGACUUAAGCAAUGCUAUGAUUAAUGAGUAAUGUCUGAUAUGGCAAAGGAAGUGGGAUAGUGACAUAAAUAUUUGCCAUCUCUUAUCUGUAUGUCGAGCCAUUUUUUCCUUGAAAAUUUAACCUUAUUUCAGGGCUUUAAAGGCAAUACAAGUUUAAUUACUUCCAAUUUUAAUACCUUUUUAAUAUCUUGAAAGCAAACUUUCAGAGAUUCAUUUCAGGUAAGCUCAAAAUUGAGUUGCUUGUGAAAGGGGAAUAUUUAGGGAAUGGGUACUUUUAUUAAUUUGCAAAAUAUUUGUAGUGUACCUAUUUUAGUGUGACUAUGUGCCAGACACUCUUUAAGUGCUUUCAGGCACUUAACAUUGUCUAAACAAUCCCAUGAAGUAGACAUUAUUAUUCCCAUUUAACAGAUGAGAAAGCUAAAGCAUUGUGAGAAUAAGUAAUUUACCUACACUCACAUAGCUUUUAAGGAGGAGCUGAAAUUCAAACCCACUCUGGCUCUAGAGACUGAGGUUAACCACUGUGGUAUGCUAGAUAAAUCAGAAUCCUUGAAUAUGUGGUUGCAUACUUCUUUCAUAGAUAUUACCAAUACAACUAAUUCCACAAUUGCUCUUGAAUUCCCAAUAAAUUGAUUUACUCAAUAAAUCUUAAAUGACUAACAUGUA